rnacentral:misc_RNA from 1 species
AAGUCGUAACAAGGUCUCCGUAGGUGAACCUGCGGAGGGAUCAUUAAAAGAGAUGGUGGACCCCCGCGUCCCCGUCCCCCAAUCCCUUUGUUCGAACCAAACCUACUUUGGCCUCGGGGCAGAGCGGCCUCCGCCCGCCCCGGUGGACCAACCAACCCUGUCUCUGUACGUCGGAGUCUUUGAUAAAUAAAUGAAAA